GCGCGUGGCCGCCGCUCCGCCUCCCUCGGCCGCCAUUGACGGCGCCCCGGGCCCGGCACUGACAGCGGCGGCGGCCGCGCUCCAGACCCGGAUGUGAGGCCCGGGAGGAGAGAGCGCGAGAGGGAGAGCGGAGAGCGAGCGAGCGAGCGAGCAAGAGAGAGAGAGAGAGGAGAGAGAGAGAGAAACACCCACCGGGCUGGCUCGGCCGCUCCCGGGAGAACGGGCCGCAGCGACCCCUGCUGGCCGGAGCCCCGCGGCGCGGGCGCGCUGAGGACGCUCCCCCCCCCCCUCCACUCCCUUCGCCUAGGGGGCACCUGGGGACCCGCUUGGGCUUCCCUGCGGCAGGAGGAUUCCCAGUGGGCGGAUGCGGGCUCCUGGCAGCCCCCGAGCGAGCGUUUCCUACCCGUUUGCAACCUGGCUGGAGAAAGGGGAAUGCAUCGCUCUUCUGGCCGCCGGGUCUUUGGUGUGGACCGCCUGCUUACACCUGGCGGCUGGACUGACUCCCGCUCUGGCCCCAGGCUGUGUCUUCUCUGAACCCCAAGUUUGCAAUGUCCACCCUCUCAGAGAACUGUUCCUCCAGCAUCUGACGUAUUCUUCUGUGCUCCUCUUAGCUGAAUUCUUUUUCCUUGUUGCAUUUUCUACCUGACAUUCAAGGAUGAAUCUCUUUGAGUGCAGGUGCCUAUAUGGAGACCAGAGGAGGGAAUCUGAUCUGAUCCACUAAGCUGUUGUUACACGGAAUUACAAGCUGCCAGUUGUGAUGUCUAAUCUCUACCCACUGUUUUCAACGAGAAUCCUGGUGGGUUGAUCUAGCCAUAAGAGCCCCACUAAGCCGAAUGCUUUCUAAGUAAUUCUUCCAUCUACUAACCCUACCUGACUCCUAUCAGUUCUCACUUGCCCAUGAUCUAGUUUCCCAGGAACCGAACGAAGCCAGUCCGAAUCCUAGGAGACUGUAGCUCAGUGGGGGAGCACUCGCCUGCUAAGCAUGAAGCCCCAGGUUUCAUCCUCAGCACUGGAUGGAGGUGCUGGGAUUCAAGAUGUGCGCCACUGGGACCAUCACAUUUAGGAAUUUCUAAGUGCCAUCUCGACUCCGGAGAUUUCAGGAUUGGUGGAGACAUCUGCAGGUUCUGCAUCACAGCUCUCCCCAGUCCAGUUCUGCUCUUUCUUGACUUCCUAUGGCUGUCGUUCCUGAUGAUCCGGGAACUUCCCAUGUCCAAGACGGCCAUUUCAGGAUUUGUUUCCUAGGAACCUGCCCUAUGCCCUAUGUUACCUAAACACUUCUGCUUUUCCGAGUUGAGUUCCCGCUACCAACCACUUAGACGUAUUACUGUAAUCAUUAUGACAGCAUGGCAGAGCUGAAUCUUACAUAAACAAUUUAAUUAAUCUGG